GGAGUAUUUAUCAGUAUGGUGUGCACUCGCAUUUGCUUCAAGCUGCCAGUUGAUAUUUAUCAAUGUCAGAGCUGUGAGAAGAGAAAAUAAAGGCAUUUUCAAGGCAUCUUCUGGCCAUUCAAGAAGACUUAUAUUGGCCUUCUGAAACUCUCCAAAGAACAAAGAAACAAACCCCCAACUUGCAUGGAUUAAUCACAAAUAUUUUCAUUCAUGACUCUCAAAAGGCCUUUCAACUAUGAAGUGGUGACAACUACCUAUAUAAUAAAUAUGCAUGAACAUGA